GGGGAGGAGGGCGCAGCUGUGCCUCAGUCGGAGCGCGGCGGGGCCGAGGACGCGGGGAAGGGUUUCUGUGGAGAAAUGUGUGUUGUGCGCUCCGAGCCCGAGAAACGGUCUUGGAAAUAAAGGAAUUCCUCUCCAGGCCAAACGCAGCAUGUGAAGAUUUUCACGGAGCGCUCUCUGAAGCGAAACCUUCCCAGGAAGAGAUGUCCGUGCUCCUCCCAGCCAGCUGAUAGCCCCAGAUAAAACAACACAUGAUGUGGAAUCACCGCAGGACCCGUCUGGCAGCUCCAUCCUGCAGCUCCAUCCUUUGCCUCUCCCUGGGCAAACAUCCUCGACUCUCCGUCACACUAAAUAUGGACCUGCAAGAUCCCCACAGCAGGUGUGAGCAAAUGUGCUCUUCCCAUCCCCGGCUCUCCCCUUCCCCUGCCCAUCUCCAGAAUAAGAAGCAGCGGCUCCUGAUGUUCUCCUCCUAUCUGCUUUUACAUGUGGGCCGGGAGGUACAUCUCACUGCCCCGGGCAGCACUGGGGAGCCAGGCAGGACAGCAGGAUGUGAAUGUGGAGAAAUGCAGCAUCACCGAUCUCACAUUCCUCAGCGCUGCGGGAUGACCUGAGCCUGAGGGCAGCAAUGAGGGGAGCACAGCUCUGGAUGCCAUUCCUCACCCCACAAAGCCCUUCCAACCUUACAAUGACAACAGGAUCUUCCCGGGGAGGCACUGCCGGGAGAGGCUGACCACAAUCAGGGACUGAAAGCAGUGACUAUUUCUUUGACUCAGCCACCAUUCAUUCAAUGAAUGAAAUACAAUUUACCUGACUCACAGAAACACCACGCAACAAACUUAAUAACGAGCCACGAGACCCCACAGUGACCGGCACCGUUUGUCAGCUGACAUAAAGAGCUCUGCUCUGCGUCCCACAGCACUGCUAAACCCACAGCCUCACAGAGCUUUGGACCGGAAGAGACGUUCCCUCACCCCUCGCUCACACGGUUAACAUACAGAUGGCAUCGGGAG
ensembl:lncRNA